UCUUAAUAGGGCGUUUAGUUGCUGGGUAUAGACCCGAAACCAGGCGAUCUAUCCAUGAGCAGGUUGAAGGUUGGGUAACACUAACUGGAGGACCGAACCCACUGUCGUUGAAAAGCCAGGGGAUGACUUGUGGAUAGGGGUGAAAGGCUAAUCAAGCCUGGUGAUAGCUGGUUCUCCCCGAAAGCUAUUUAGGUAGCGCCUCGGACGAAUACCAUAGGGGGUAGAGCACUGUUUCGGCUAGGGGGUCAUCCCGACUUACCAAACCGAUGCAAACUCCGAAUACCUAUGAGUACUAUCCGGGAGACAGACUGCGGGUGCUAACGUCCGUAGUCAAGAGGAAAACAAUCCAGACCGCCAGCUAAGGCCCCAAAAUCAUAGUUAAGUGGGAAACGAUGUGGGAAGGCAUAGACAGCUAGGAGGUUGGCUUAGAAGCAGCCACCCUUUAAAGAAAGCGUAAUAGCUCACUAGUCGAGUCGGCCUGCGCGGAAGAUGUAACGGGGCUAAAACUAUGUGCCGAAGCUGCGGAUGUAUACUUUGUAUACGUGGUAGGGGAGCGUUCUGUAAGCCGAUGAAGGUGUGUUGAGAAGCAUGCUGGAGGUAUCAGAAGUGCGAAUGCUGACGUGAGUAACGACAAAACGGGUGAAAAACCCGUUCGCCGAAAGACCAAGGGUUCCAGUCCAACGUUAAUCGGGGCUGGGUGAGUCGACCCCUAAGGCGAGGCCGAAAGGCGUAGUCGAUGGGAAAAUGGUUAAUAUUCCAUUACUUCUGUGUAAUGCGAUGAGAGGACGGAGAAGGCUAAAUCAGCCUGGCGUUGGUUGUCCAGGUGAAAGGAUGUAGGCAUGUAUCUUAGGCAAAUCCGGGGUACUCUAUGCUGAGAUCUGAUAGCAAGCUGUACUUGUACAGCGAAGUGGUUGAUGCCAUGCUUCCAGGAAAAGUCUCUAAGCUUCAGUUACACAGGAAUCGUACCCGAAACCGACACAGGUGGUCAGGUCGAGUAGACCAAGGCGCUUGAGAGAACUCUGCUGAAGGAACUAGGCAAAAUGGUAC
rnacentral:rRNA from 1 species